UACGUAGGGGGCAAGCGUUGUCCGGAUUUAUUGGGCGUAAAGAGCGUGUAGGCGGCCAGGUAGGUCCGUUGUGAAAACUGGAGGCUUAACCUCCAGCUGUCGAUGGAAACCAUCUGGCUAGAGUCCGGAAGAGGAGAGUGGAAUUCCUGGUGUAGCGGUGAAAUGCGCAGAUAUCAGGAAGAACACCCGUGGCGACGGCGGCUCUCUGGGACGGUACUGACGCUGAGACGCGAAAGCGUGGGGAGCGAACAGG
rnacentral:rRNA from 1 species